rnacentral:rRNA from 1 species
GCAGGAGAGGAGAGUGGAAUUCCUAGUGUAGCGGUGAAAUGCGUAGAUAUUAGGAGGAACACCAGUUGCGAAGGCGGCUCUCUGGACUGUAACUGACGCUGAGGCACGAAAGCGUGGGGAGCAAACAGGAUUAGAUUCCCUGGUAGUCCACGCUGUAAACGAUGAGUACUAGGUGUCGGGGGUUACCCCCUUCGGUGCCGCAGCUAACGCAUUAAGUACUCCGCCUGG